rnacentral:rRNA from 1 species
AGCGAACGCUGGCGGCAUGCCUAACACAUGCAAGUCGCACGGGGGGGCUUCGGCCUCCCAGUGGCGGACGGGUGAGGAACGCGUAGGGACCUGUCGAGGGGUGGGGGAUAACCGCGGGAAACUGCGGCUAAUACCGCAUGACGCCGCGGCGUGACAGCCGGGGCCAAAGGCGAAAGCCGCCCGCCGAGGGGCCUGCGUCCGAUUAGCUGGUUGGCGGGGUAGCGGCCCACCAAGGCGUCGAUCGGUAGCUGGUCUGAGAGGGUGAUCAGCCACACCGGGACUGAGACACGGCCCGGACUCCUACGGGAGGCAGCAGUGGGGAAUAUUGGACUAUGGGCGCAAGCCUGAUCCAGCAAUGCCGCGUGGGUGAAGAAGGUCUUCGGAUUGUAAAGCCCUUUCGGCGGGGACGAUGGUGACGGUACCCGCAGAAGAAGCCCCGGCUAACUUCGUG